rnacentral:rRNA from 1 species
CAGUCGCCGCGGUAAAACGGAUGGAGCUAGCGUUGUUCGGAAUUACUGGGCGUAAAGCGUGCGUAGGCGGUGAGUUAAGUCUGCUGUGAAAUCCCCGGGCUCAACCUGGGAAUGGCAGUGGAUACUGGCUCGCUAGAGUGUGUCAGAGGAUGGUGGAAUUCCCGGUGUAGCAGUGAAAUGCGUAGAGAUCGGAAGGAACAUCUGUGGCGAAGGCGACUAUCUGGGCCAACACUGACACUGAGGCACGAAAGCGUGGGGAGCAAACAGGAUUAGAUACCCCCGUAGUCCCUGUCUCUUAUAC